AUAUGUAUACGGUGUGCGAGCGGUAUGAUAAUUGCGUAAUUGAUAAUAUAUGCGCGUUUUCCGUGAGCUCACCGAUCGUGUCGACUCGUUUUAAUAUUAUUAUUAUCGGCAAUCCAUUAUUCAUUAGACGCUGUCACAUUUUGGAGUGGCCGUCGUCACUAGAGGUGAGUGGCCUCCCCUUUACAGCCAGUGGAAGCAGAUAGAUAGAGAGAAAGAUAUAUGUACAUAGAAAGAGAGAGAGAGGAGUGAAAGAAAGAAAGAGAGAGAGAGAAAAAGGGCUAGGCAGUGGCGUUACGUCUCCUGAGUCUUUAGGUUUAAAAACGUCUCGGCCAUUAUGUAAUACACAUACACAAACACACCUAGUCUUCCGGUUCAUGAAAAUCGAGUAAGAAACGCGCGUUUAUAAAUCUUAAAUCUCUUCCUCUCACUGUUACCCCACGACCCUAUCGCCUUAAGGUUACUUUACGAGCAUUACACACAAAUAUCGUAAUACAGUUUAAACGGGCACACUUAAUAAUAUGUGGAUAUUUUUAAUUAUUGUAAUAUCCGUCGUCAUUUUUCCACCUUUCCUGUCACACACGCAAACGCCUAUUAUAAUUUAUAACAAAUAGGUACUUGCUCACUUUCGUAAGACCGCACCCCGUGAAAUAUUUAUCUGCUUAUUCAUUUUGAUGCGCCCAUCUUUAAUUAUAUUAUAAUAUUAUACUUUGCGCGCAUAUAGUAAGCGAAGGGCGUCUGACGAUCUGUUGAUGUGAUGCUCAUCUAUACAGAUGAACGUAAGAUCGUAAGUGUGUGAUCAUCAUAUAAAGAUAAAUAAACAGGACAAAGUAGUGACAAAUUAUUUUUAAAAAUUACCGCUUCAGAUGGAAAAAAAUAUGUACAGUACCUGCAGAUAAAUUUUAAGGUGUCACUAUGAGCAAUGAAAAGCGAGCAUUUCUCUGCACGUCAUUUUUUAUGUCGGUAAUUUGCAUUUAUAAUUAUUUUUUCUUUGUCGAAUUUGGUUUUCUUAUCAAGUUUAUGACAUAUAUAAAAUUAACUAUUACUGUCAACAGCUCUCAGUUAAAAGAAGGAUUGUGAGUAAAAAAUUUGGUAUCAGGAUGCGGAAUUUUGAAAACAUGGAUGUAUUCAUAUAGUCCAGCAUUAGGAACAUUUGGCCAUAUUAUGAAAGAAAUAGAAAUCUACGACGAAUUGUUUGUGUGCAUAUGUGUAUGUGGAAAUAUGUUUCGCAUGGGUAACAGAAUUUUCUAUGUAAACUACGAUGCAUACAGGAGGAAGAAACUUGUCAAAAUUUCACUUUUCCCACACCGCUGACAGACUACAAACAUAAUAUAGAUUCUAUGAGGACGUCAUAUAUUCAAAUUCUAUUAUCAUGGAUCCUUAUUAUAGAAUUUUGAAAGUUAUGUAACUCCAAAAUUGUUGGAUUAGAUACAUCAAAAUGUCGAAAAAAAUCUAUCCGUUUAACAAUCUAUAAUAUGAAAAAGGGAUUGCUCUUAUUUGGAAAAAAGAAUAGUUUGUAUCACGACAAGAUAUCCUAUAAAUGGUAUACAACAAUCUAAGU